AUGAGGAGCUUGAGUCGGUGCGAGCUGAGAGCGAGCGUCUCCUGUCUGAGAAGACAGACAGCCCUCAGAAUCAUGCAGAGGAGUUGGAGACGCUGCUCUCCACUGUAACAUCACUGACUGAAGAGAGAGACCAGCUCCAGGAGAUUCUGGGUGGAGUCAAGAGAGGAGAGGAACCAGCUCAAGCGAGAACUGGAGGAGAAUGUGGAGAUGUCUUUGAACCAGUCCAUCAAAGUCGAGGAGGAGCUGAAACAGCAGCAACAUCUCAACUCUGAGCAGCAGGCUGAGACAGAACAACAAACAACUCAACUUCAGCAACAAAUACAGUAGCUAGAGGAGGAACACGCACACAUGAAAGAUGAGAGAGCCCAGCUUCAGAGAUCUUCUGGAAAAUAUGGACAUGGUCAUACAGGUCCAGAGGACAUUAGAACAGCAGCAACAUCUGAACACAGAACAGCAGGCUGAGAGAGAACAACAAGAGGCCCUACUUAAACAACAAGUCCAGCUUCUUGAAGAGCAGUUGAAGACGGUGAAAGAUGAUAGGAGCCAGGUGAAUAGCAACAUUCAGGACAGUAUGGACAUGAUGCUCAGUGAUGCAAAUGCAACCAUCUCCAUAUUGACAGAACAGUUCAAUAACAUGGAGCGCGAAGUGUUUUACCACUAGCGAAGCAGAGGGAAUUUGCUCCAGAUGUAUGCCAGGCUAAUCCUUGUAUGCCAAGGAUUACAAAACACACUUUGAAGCCCUGGUCCUGAAUGACUUGGCUGUAUUUGAGGAGAAGAGACUGCAGCACCUGCUCAUCUGUAGAGCCUAGGCACCCAGUCACUCAGUCAAGGUGGCUGAGAACAAAUUUCUUGGAGUCUGGGACCAGAAGCUGAGCUGCUGGACAAGAGUCGAUUACCUCCAGCUUAAGGAGUGCCUGUCCACUCACUCAGCAGUGGUGUCAGAGGAGCUGAGGGUGUGAGAGAGGAGCAAUGAGGAGGCUGAGUGCUCUAUGCAUGGUCCACUCACCUGGCUCGUCAGCUGUGGAGAGCUUCCUGGCUCGUCAGCUGUGGAGAGCUUCCCGCGGCAGAGCUGGCCCGGCGCUCUGCCGUGGCACAGGCCAACACACGGGCUCUCCAGGAAUUGUGAGAUGAGCACCGUGGUCUGCUGAAAGAGCUAGGUGUGGUCCGAGCACAGGCUGACAGUCAGCUGAAAGAAGAGCGGAGUAAGACCUUUACUCUACUGCAGAUACUGGAGAAUGACCCAGUCAAGACUGAAGCUGACCAGCUGAGGGACAACCAGCAUCUUGCCAUGUAAUGUCAGCAGUUGGAGGGAGAAAUCAAGGAAAUGCAAAUGAGAGUUGAGCACCAGAUUAAAGCUGCUAAUAGGGUCUCAAACCACAAACAAGCCACCCAGCUCCUACGAACUGAGCUUCAGGAUGCUUGUGCACAAGUCAAGGAUAGGGAGGGCUCUAUCCAAAUCCUCAAAGAGAGACUGACGUAGGAGUUGGAACAAGGUUCUGGCCAAGAGAAGAGCAUCGCCUAGUGUCUUGAGCUUGAAAAGCUGAAUGCUAAAGUUGUGAAGAUGGAGAUGACUUCAUUGUCCUCUAAACACCAAGAAGAGUUACUGAGGAUGACCACGCUCCUGAACCACAAGGAGGACGCUCUGAGGACGCUGAAGGAGACUCUGAGAAGAUCACAGCAGGAGGGAGAACAGUUAUUCAUGGGGGGAGAGGAUCUGCAUGCCAGACUGACAACCACCAGAGGACGUACGGUCCAAAGCAACAUUCUCCUUGAAAAGAACAAACUUGAGGAAGUGAAACGGCUACAAAAGAGAAUUUCUGAAUUGCCGUGUUUCCACUCAGCAAGGAGAUAUUUUCAAGUGGAAGGCUUGAGCAGUUAAGCUGAAGGAGAGGAGGGACGUGGUUGAAACGCCUCCAUCUGCAUGUACUCAUACAAAACGACGCCUUCCCAUGACUUCUGAGGACCUCAACUCUCCCAAGAAGUUCCUCGACUCGCCCAAGAGAAAGUUCUUUGAUGUCCGUCCAGGCUCUGAAUGUCAAUUAACUGUCCCAAUCAGUUUUUUGAUAACUCCAACCUUGGAACCGUUCAAGAUGCAACUGUGGAUUAAAAAGGAGGAAUGGUGGCCUGUCACCAAAGCAAGCUGAUCUAUGCAAACAGCAGUAAAUGAUUUACCUAAAUUGCACUUAUCAUUCAUUGUUUAUCUAUUUUUCAAUAUUCAAAGUGUUUGUUUUCAUAUUGUAUUUGAUAGCCUUAUAUUUUAAAAUAAAGAGCAGUUUAUUUUAAUAAGACUCAACUUUACCUGCUCUCUAUGUAAUAGGACUUUCAGUUGUUCUGACAGCAGAUGGCAUGCUUACACCAUUUAGUUUGAGAAUGUUUUAUUUUGACAAUGAUGGAGGAUUUUAAACUUGGUGUCUAUGCAAAGUGGUCUUGAUGUUCAGUUUCUCCCAUUAAUAAUUUUCAGACUAAUGCUUUUACAUUUUUAACUGUAGAUUGCCGUUUUUGAGGAUAUUGUACAUUCAUGGCUCCAUUGGAAGUGCUUCCUAAUUUCAGAGUUUGGAGUUGUCUAAAGGGAUAUCUGUUACAUUUUUGAAGAUGGAACAUCACUAGGGUAAUUUAGCUAUAUGGCAGAAUUAAACUCAGAAUUAUUCUAAAUAACUGUAUUUGCCUGUAUGUUGUGCAGGUAAACAGGAGGCCUGACUCGGUCCACUUAGACUUGGGUCUCAGUAGCUGCCCCACAGCUACAUUCUCUUGGUCGCUUCCUCUGCAUGGCUUCACAUUUCAUUUAAGAGGGUGCAGAAACCACAUUCUUCCUGUUCUCUCUGUUGGGAUUACUGUAAGAAUGGUACUAAGCCUUCAGAAGGAGUACUGGCACCAUGGUAAAUAACCUUUAGAGUUCUGUAGCACAUCAUCAAAGGUAAUUUGAUCACAGGUUCCCAAAUGGAAGGGAAUUAAGUGAUGUUUUCUGACUGCCUGACAAAGUAAAGAAGACAGAUCUUAAGAUACACGGAAUGCAUUACUUAAUUUGUACUCCAAGACAUUCCAGUGACUGAGCCCUGCAUACUUAUCAUGCAGUAGUUUUCUGUAACCUAAUGACUGCACCAGCUAAAAAGACACGACCGAUUGGGUAUGAAAGUGCCACAAGACUGGUAGACUUCUGAGCUGAAGUCUCUGCAUUAUCUUUGAGAGUUAACAGGUUCAGGCAAGAUUAUUCAGUACACAUGUGCUCCAAAAGUUAUUUUCAUUAAACAUUGUGAUGCCAUCGAGGCUGAAAUACUUUAUUUACCAAAACCUCUAGCCGGAGAGGAGUAGUGGUUUUCAUUAUUUCACAAAUAUCAACAUACAGUAACUGUCAAAUCUGGAAAUGGAAGAGCUGAAGUCUGCACUCAGAUUAUCAACAAAAUACACUUUCCCCAAGCUUCUCUUGGACACCUAACUCAUUAAUAGUAUUAUUAAGACUUGGUAUCUUUUGAUACUUUUGUUCCAAGGAUAUCACAAUAUUGAUGGUAAAUAGGUUUGCCAGUUUUCUACAGGGCUUUUCUUAUGUAGGCAAUACAAGAAGAAGAUGGAACACAAUUGGUCAGAAAAAGAACAAAGUCCUUGUGAAGAAGUUCAAGAAUAAAGGGAGACCUUCUUAAAAGGGAAUUACAGUCUCAAUACUGAACCAGUCAUUCCUCAAGCACAAGUUGUCGGAGUAGCCCUCAUUGCAAUUAAAGUAAGCAAAAGUGUCAAAGUUUGAACCUCUCCCGGCAGCCCACCUAAUUGCUGAGGUGGCUUGUUUCAUCUAAUAGUAUUAUUUGUAUAUUUCCAUAAUGUGUUACAGUGGGAAUCAUCCAGGACAGGUCUUUCCCUUGUUCAAUUAUUCAGGGCUCAGUCACAGACAGUCAUUAAAGUUUCAUGGGAGGCAAUUUGGAGGCAGUGCUGGUUGCUUUAGAAAACAAAAAGCCCUCUCUGCCUUUGGAAGUGCAUGUUGUGAACUUGUGACAGAGGUAAAAUGAAAUUCAUAAUUACAUUUGUGGACUAUUAUUGACCCAGAAACUAAAAGGUGGAAUUGUAUGGUGACCAAAUGUAUUUGAUUAGGUAUGUCACUCAAAGUUCUUCUCAAAUAUAGCAAGUUUUUUAAGUUAACUAAUUUGCUGUAUGAGACUGAGGAACACAUCCACAAAAUAGUCAGGAGUUCUCAAGACAACAUUUAAUACUGAUGCACACAAAUAGAUGCUCCAAAAAGUUUGUUUCCUUAUAAUUGUCAGAUUUAGAAAUGUAUUCUUGCCAGUGCUUAAAAACUAAGAGGUAACAUGCACACUUAGAAAUAACACUUGUUUUGGGAAAUACUAAUAUUACAAACAUAUUACUUUGAUCAUUCUGCAUGCCUUGAAUCCUCUUAACAGCAAAAUCACAUGCCCACAUAAAUAUCCUUGAGUAGAAAAUGGGUCAUGUAAGAUUUUUUUAGGGAGGUAAUUAAAACUUUGAGUGUAUGUGGCUUGACAUGGGAUAAUACAUACACAACAGCAGCUUACUGUAAUACUUUGCUGGUAAAGAUUAGGUUGGAAAAUAUCUGAAUCUUCUAAAUAAAAAUUUGUUUUUAGAGAUUACAAAUAUUUUACAAAUAAAACGCAGUGCUCUAAAUUGCUGACAGAAAUCUUACCGAGAUGGGAAAGGAAGUAAAAAUGACAUUCUUUCUCAAUCAAGGACAGUUAAGUUGUUCAGUAGAAUUGCAACAGCAAUAUUCAAACAUGCACAGGCCAGGGACAGUGCAUGACAGGCAGUCCUGGGCAGGCCAGUUUCUCUCAUGAAUUCACUGUUAAAGAUGUUUGAAAAUGUUUUGUAGGAGGACCAUCAUACUACAUUUUCUUCUCUAUUAAAGUCUGAAUAAAAGUCAAGUCUGAAUAUGUUUAUUCACAUUUACUCCUACAAUAGGUCUUGAUAUUGUUCCUUUAAGGCAUGUUUUCACGUCAGUGGCUAUUUUAAGGAUUUUAGGCUUGCUCUAUUCUUAGCGCCAACUCACACUGGUAGCAUGACUACUUGCAGUGUUUUAAUUUCCAAUUGUCAGGGUAUAAAUAUUCCAUUUGCUCUGGGCUCCAUUCCCAGAAUAAGAUGUGAAUACAUGAGCUGAAUUAGACUUUUUAAAACCCUGUUUACCAAAAUAAACUAA